UGACCUCUGGUGCACCAGUUGUCACGCCAGUGGCACAGCUGGGUAGCUAAGUCGGGAAGGGAUAAACGCUGAAAGCAUCUAAGCGUGAAGCCCACCCUAAGAUGAGAUUUCCCAUGACGUAAGUCAAUAAGAUCCCUUGAAGAACACAAGGUUGAUAGGUCAGAGGUGUAAGUGCAGCAAUGUAUUUAGCUGACUGAUACUAAUAGAUCGAAGGCUUGAUCA
rnacentral:rRNA from 1 species